rnacentral:rRNA from 1 species
AGAGUGAACGCUGGCGGCAGGCCUAACACAUGCAAGUCGAACGGCAGCGCAGCCCCGCAAGGGGUGGGCGGCGAGUGGCGGACGGGUGAGGAAUACAUCGGAAUCUACCCUGUCGUGGGGGAUAACGUAGGGAAACUUACGCUAAUACCGCAUACGACCCACGGGUGAAAGCGGCGGACCGCAAGGCGUCGCGCGACUGGAUGAGCCGAUGUCCGAUUAGCUAGUUGGCGGGGUAAAGCCCACAAGGCGACGAUCGGUAGCUGGUCUGAGAGGAUGAUCAGCCACACUGGGACUGAGACCACGGCCCAGACUCCGUACGGGAGGCAGCAGUGGGGUAAGUUUUGGACGAAG